GGCGGUGCUCUGCCACAGGGCAUGACGGGAAGCCGGGAGUCUGGGCAACACGAGAGGCUGGGAAGUACUUCGCAAAGCUGAUGGUGCACAGGGGACCUAGAUGAAAAGCAAGCCGUGCUGAAAUCUGUGAGCUCUUCACAAGCACAGAUUGCACGCGGAAUGCACGUGGGCUGAAGCUGGAUGAAUAAAGAGGAGCCGAGUGAUUCUCUGAAUGAAUAGCAGUUUUUCACCUGGGUACAGCAUCAUCAUGCAGGAGUGAAGGAGUUCAGCAAAGGUUACUAAUUAUCAUGUAAAUGAGAUAGUUCUCCCUGGCUGUCUGGGCACACCUGGGUAGGUGACCACUGAUAGAGAGAUGAACUGCUCACAGCAUGCCUUGGCUUGGGAGUCCUUACCGAGACAUGGAGUCACACUCUGCCAGGUGCUUAUAUGGAGUUGCUCAAUUCAUGAGCUGUGGCCGAUUGGCAAAGUGGUAUGGAGAGCUCUGGGAAACAUGUUGUGAUGAGGCUUGGAGGGCUCAGGUUUAGUGGGAAGUGUGGUGGUGAAUGACAGGUUGGGAAGAUCACUGUAGGGCAGAUCAGCUUGCACUAACCAGAGCUGCCUCAGGGCGCCCUGGCACUCUAGGCAGCGUGGAAGUCUCCUGUGUUAAAGAAAUAGGGGUUAGGCCAGGCAACACUUAACCUAGAAGGGACUCGGACAAGAAGGAGGAAGAAUGAGAAGGAGGGGAGGGAAGGCAUGACUCUGUGGGGGAAAUUCUGAAAAUAUGUGCUUCCCUUUCCUGCUAGACAUACGGGAUGGGGUGAGGCAGCAGCACUUGCUGCUCAGAAGAGCCACCUUGCAAGGACUGUUUGUCAUCUAUUUCACAUGCCCUGACGGGCCUGGGCAACAGCACACCCUGAUCUCCAGCGUGUUGGCAAAUUCAGCCGUGUGACAGUUUCCUAAUCCAUUGAGGCAGUGCCUGCACUGCUCUUUGUAUGCCCUGCGCUUUCUUUUUCCCCAUUCUAACAGGCAGAUUAAUUUUUUAAUAAGUUUGGAUACCAUUUCAGCUUUAGGCAGAAAACUUUCAUUGCUUAAGCCUUUAGCAGUUUAACGGGGAGGAAUAUCAUCUCCGUCAACAAACCCAACGAGUGAAAUGCCUACAAUUUCUUAAUGCUAUUAUAAUGACGCGUUUCAGUAAUGUUCCCUGUGGGUUGGGUCCAUGAAGCUUCUCCUUUCGCUGGAGUCAGCGCAGGGUUCAGGUUUCACACCUACCACUGCUUUAAUUACUUGCUUUUUCUCACGUUUGCAGCAGCAGUGUGUACAAGAAGGCCUUAAACAAAUCUGUCCACCUUGUGCAGAGCUACUUUCUAGGAGUUUCCAAAGGACAAGGUGUUUGAGGCCAGGUUGGAUGAGGCUUUGAGCAACCUGAUCCAGUGGGAGGUGUCCCUGCCUACGCCAGGGCAGUUAGAACCUGAUGGGCUUUAAGAUCCCUUCCUACCUGAACCAUUCUGAUUCCAUGGUUUUGCACACCCACAAGCAGCAGAGAAAACUGAGCUGCAAAACCCAAAGAAUUGAUUCUUUAAAGCAUCCACGCCUUGAAGUCGUUCAUGUCUUUGAAGCUGUCCUGGGGAACAUGUUAAAGCCGGCUCGCUGCCUUUGUUUGGAUCCCUCGCUCACCUGUAAUUACAGUAAUUGGAGUUUUUUUUCUGUGGUGACCACACGCUGUGCCCUGCUUGAGUUUUCUUUGGCGUUUCACAUCCCUUCCCCGAAAUGGAUUAACGCUUCACAGAUUUCCACAGAA